rnacentral:rRNA from 1 species
AUGAAGAUUGAUAUUUCCAAAGCCUUUGAUACCUUGUCCUGGGAGUUCAUCAUUCAGAUAUUGAUAAGGAGAGGCUUUGGUCGGCGUUGGUGCUCUUGGGUCUGUGGUCUUUUGCGCAGUGCGUCGUCUUCUGUGUUGGUCAACGGUGAGACUUGUGAGCCAUUCUCACUUGGCCAAGGUGUGAGACAGGGGGACCCGCUGUCCCCGGCGCUCUUCAUUCUUGCCAUGGACACUUUGCAAGCAAUGCUGCAGUGGGCAGACCAUAACAACAUGUUAUCGGACUUAGGUCUCACCCCCAACAUUCCGAGGGCUUCCUUCUUUGCAGAUGAUGCAGUUCUAUUUUUCAAACCUUACUCGACAGAUAUGGGGGUGAUCUCAGCCAUCCUGAAGCUGUUUGGAGAAGUGUCUGGGCUUCACAUCAAUCUGCAAAAGAGCACUGUCACGUGUAUCAGGGGUGACGACUCCAUUUCUGCUAGUGUGUCUCGACACUUUGCCUGUCGGUUGAGGCCGUUUCCACUUCAGUAUCUUGGGCUGCCACUAUCAAUAUACAGAUUGAGGCGUCAGGACAUUUUGCCACUCAUCGACAAGUUCUCCAACAAGAUGAAGGGAUGGAAACCCAAG